rnacentral:rRNA from 1 species
GACGAACGCUGGCGGCGUGCUUAACACAUGCAAGUCGAACGGAAAGGCCCUGCUUUUGUGGGUUGCUCGAGUGGCGAACGGGUGAGUAACACGUGAGUAACCUGCCCUUUACUUUGGGAUAACUUCAGGAAACUGGGGCUAAUACCGGAUAGGAGCUCCUGCUGCAUGGUUGGGGUUGGAAAGUUUCGGCGGUUGGGGAUGGACUCGCGGCUUAUCAGCUUGUUGGUGGGGUAGUGGCUUACCAAGGCUUUGACGGGUAGCCGGCCUGAGAGGGUGACCGGCCACAUUGGGACUGAGAUACGGCCCAGACUCCUACGGGAGGCAGCAGUGGGGAAUAUUGCACAAUGGGCGGAAGCCUGAUGCAGCAACGCCGCGUGCGGGAUGACGGCCUUCGGGUUGUAAACCGCUUUCGCCUGUGACGAAGCGUGAGUGACGGUAAUGGGUAAAGAAGCACCGGCUAACUACGU